GACAGAGGCCACGAACGUUGUUCGGAAUCACUGGGCAUAAAGCGCACGUAGGCGGCUAGGUCCGUCCGAUGUGAAAUCCCCGGGCUUAACCUGGGAAUGGCAUUUGGGACUGCAAGGCUUGAGUGCGGCAGAGGAGACUGGAAUUCCUGGUGUAGCAGUGAAAUGCGUAGAUAUCAGGAGGAAUACCGAUGGCGAAGGCAGGUCUCUGGGCUGACACUGACGCUCAUGCACGAAAGCGUGGGGAGCAAACAGG
rnacentral:rRNA from 1 species